UUAAAUUUUAAAUUUAUUUAUUCAGAUCAGAAGCACUACAAUAAAAAAUAGGCAAUGUGAGUUGACUAUUACAAAAGAUUCACUGAGAAAAAUAAGCUGACAUUUUAUAUUCACUUAAAUAAUUACCAAUGCUUCCUUAUGCUUUUGACUUUAAGUAUUAAAUUACAGUUAUCUACACAAAAACAUCGACCAGGAUGAAGAACUGCAGAACAAGAACAUUCUCAAACUGCCAGUGGAAGUAUAAAUCAGAAGAACCAUUAGGGAGAAAGAAACUCUAGCAUAUGUGCAAAGGAGACAUGUUUAAGAAUGCUCAUGAGAACAGUCUUUAGUAGCACCAAAUUCGUAAAAAAAAAAAACAACAACUAUCCACCAGUAGCAAACUAUUAUCUAUAUAACUUAAUACUAAACAGGAGUGAAGGCUGGGAGCAGUGACUCACACCUGUAAUCCCAGCACUUUGGGAGGCCAAGGCAGGUGGAUCACUUGAGGUCAGGAGUUCGAGACCAGCCUGGCCAACACAGAGAAACCCCGUCUCUACUAAAAAUACAAAAAUUAGCCAAGUGUGGUGGUGCACAGCUGUAAUCGCAGCUGCUUGGGAGGCCAAGGCAAGAGAAUUGCUUGGACCUGGGAGGCAGCAGCUGCAGUGAGCAAAGAUAGCACCACUGCACUCCAGCCUGGGCGACCCAGCGAGACUCUGUCUCAAAAAAUAAAAAUAAAAAUAAAAUAAUAAUAAAUAAACAGGAAUGAAAAGUGGGCAAUAUAGAUCAGUGCUGCCCAACAGACAUAUAAUGUAAGGCAUUUCAAAUAUAUAUUUAAAUUUUCUAGUAGCCAUAUUUUAAAAAAGGAAACCACUGGUAAAAUUUUUACAUUUUAUUUAAUCCAAUACAUCCAAACUAUUAUCAGUUCCAUAUGUGGUCAAUAUAUCAGAUUUUUUCAGAUUUUGGAAUAUUUGCAUUAAACCUUUGAGCAUUUCCUUUGAGAGUCAUGUCAGUAAUCAAAAAAUUUUGGGUUUUGGAGCAUUUUCUAUUUCAGAUUCUUAGGGAUACUAAACUUUUAGUGAGAUAUUUUACAUGUUUUUAAUACUAAAUAUUUGAAAUUCCAUGUACAAAUAUAUUUCUAGCACAUCUCAAUGUGGACUAGCUACAUUUCCAGUACUCAAUAGCCACAGAUAGUUAGUGGCUAUUGUAUUGGACAGUGCAGAUCUGGAGUUACAUCAAAAUCCUAAAAACAACAUUGAGCAAACAAACAAAAAAAAAAAAGGCAAGUUGCAAAAUAAUAUGUACUGUAUGGUGCCACUUACAUAAACGUAUAAAACUGAAAAAAUUUCAUUCUCAGUAAACUAUCGCAAGAACAAAAAACCAAACACCACAUAUUCUCAUUCAUAGGUGGGAACUGAACAAUGAGAUCACAUGGACACAGGAAGGGGAACAUCACACUCUGGGGACUGUUGUGGGGUGGGGGGAGGGGGGAGGGGGGAGGGAUAGCAUUGGGAGAUAUACCUAAUGCUAGAUGACAAGUUAGUGGGUGCAGCACACCAGCAUGGCACAUGUAUACGUAUGUAACCUGCACAAUGUGCACAUGUACCCUAAAACUUAAAGUAUAAUAAUAAAAAUAAAUAAAUAAACUGAAAAAAUUCUAAAUAAGGUUUAUGUAUAUGGAAACAUGUUUAUGUAGAAAACAUUAAAAUAACCCAUGAGGCUUCAACUCUAUCUGUAAUGUUUUAAUUCUUUAAAAGAAAUCUAAAGCAAAUAUGACAUAAGAUUUUAAAAUAUUUCCCACUUAAAUAAUAAAAAAAUAGAAUAUGCUUGCUUCUGUUUAUAUUCAAUUACUUACUUCUGAAAAUAUGCUACAGAAAUAUUUAGUGUGUAAAUUUCAUAUUUUACUUUGUACUACAUAGAUCCGUAGCAUCUUUCUGUUGUUCAUGUAUUAAGUUUGAUAACAGAAGUUCAAGGAAAAGUUCAAAAAAUUAAGUAAGGAUAAAAACUGAUGAAUUUUGUCUUGUUUAUUCAACAAGCAUUUACUAUAUGAUUAUUGUGUGUAUUCAGGGAGUUCAUAAUGUGGUGAACAGCUUUUUGUUACAAGCAGUCAUAUGGAGAUGAAAGUAUAUUUUAGCACUACAUAGAACACCAAGAUCAAAGUAAAAGAGCAAAAUACUUAAACAGUGAGUUUUGGCCCUGAGAGUAAUUGUUAAAUGGAAAAUUUUUAAAGGCAUUCUUCUUUUUAUGUAUAUAUUUAAAGGGUAUGGCCAGGCGCAGUGGCUCAUAUCUGUAAUCCUAGCACUUUGGGAGGCAGAGGCGGGCAGAUUGCUUGAGCUCAGGAGUUCAAUACCAGCCUGGGCAACACGGCAAAACCCAUCUCUACAAAAACUAUAAAAAUUAGCCAGGCAUGGUAGCAUACACCUGUAGUCCCAGCUACUUGGGGGGCUGAGGUGGGAUGAUCGCUUGAGCCUGGGAGGUCAAGCAGGCAGUGAACUGUGAUCAUGCCUCUGCACUCCAGCUGAGGCAACAGCGAGAGACCCUGUCUCAAUCAAUCAAUCAAUAAAGUGUACAACAUGAAUGUUUUGAUAUACAUAUACAUAGUGAAAUGAUUACUAUGGUCAAGCAAAAUGUCCCAUCUCCACAUAUAGUUAUCUUUUUCUGUGUGUGCUGAAAACACCUGAAAUCUACUCUUUUAACAACUUUCCAGUACAUGAUACAGUAUUAUUAACUAUAGUGUUCAUGCUGUACAUUAGAUCUCUAGACCUAGUCAUCCUACGUGAUUCCAACUUGGUAACCUUUAACCAAUAUCUCCCCAUUUCUCCCACCUUCCUACCCAUUUAACUACUUUUCUACUCUCUUCUUUUGCAGACUUGGCAUUCUUAGAUUCCACAUAUAGGUUGAAGUCAUGAAGUAUUAUUUUUUCCACGUCUGGCUAACUUCACUUGCCAUAAUGUCCUCCAGGUUCAUCUAUGUUGUCACCAAUGGCAAGCAUAUUAGUUUAGUGUACCAUCUUAAGAUACGCAAUGACUUGGCCAGGCGCGGUGGCUCAUGCCUGUAAUCCCAGCAUUUUGGGAGGCCGAGGCGGGCAGAUCACGAGGUCAGGAGAUCAAGACCAUCCUGGCUAACAUAAUGAAACCCCAUCUCUACAAAAAAUACAAAAAAAAUUAGCCAGGCGUGGUGGCAGGCGCCUGUAGUCGCAGCUACUCGGGAGGCUGAGGCAGGAGAAUGGCAUGAAUCCGGGAGGUGGAGCUUUGCAGUGAGCAGAGAUCACGCCACUGCACUCCAGCCUGGGCGACAGAGCAAGACUCUGUCUCAAAAAAAAAAAAAAAAAAAAAAAAGAUACACAUUGACUCACUAGAAGAGAUUUUUUUUAAAGACUGCAAUAAACACACAAGCAAAACCCUCAUUCAUUCUACUUAGUUUUAGCUAAAUACUGUAUAUAUUACUUGUACAUAGCUCUAAAUAUUUUAAUAAAGGUUCGUAGAACAUGAAAGAAAAGUUCAAAAUGGGAAGCACUGGAACCAUAGAGACUAUGAGUUGUCAUAAUGUGGAACUUCAGAUAUAACAGUCUUUCAAAACAGGAAAAACAAUUAGUUGAAAAUAUGACUUUAAAAACUGAACCUCAACUAUACUAAUAUCUGUAAUUUACUUUGAAAUGAAUAAGAAAAUAAAAUGAAAUGUUACAUCAAUGGAGAGUUGGACAGAUGGAUCAAUAUGUGAUAAAACAAGAAGAGUAAAAAAAAAAGAAGAGUAAAAUGUUAAAGGUAGAAUCUAGAUGUUAAUAAUAUUGGUGUUCAGUGUAAAAUUUUUAAAGCUUUGCUGUAAGUUUUAAAUUUUCAUAAUGUGUUAAAAAUUAAACUUUAAUGUGAGGAUAAUAGCUUUUAACUACAAUUAUGAUGUGUACUGGCACCAGAAGAAAAAAAAUCAACUUAUCUUUUUGCAAAUAGUUCAUUUUAGGUAAAUACCCCAUAGUAUAGUUUGUUCAAAAAACACUUCAAUACAAUAUGAUUAUGUUUGGAAAUUUAGUCUAGAAUAAUCCACUGAAGGGUAAGUGUUAACCAAAUUCAACUAACUGCAAGAUGAUAAUUGUUGAAGCUGGGUGACAGGUACUUAGGGGGUUUCGUUAUUUUAUAUAUAUAUAUAUAGUUGUCUUUUGUUUUUUGUUUUUUUUGGGAUGGAGUCUCGCUCUUGUUGCCCAGGCUGGACUGCAAUGGCACAAUCUUGGCUCACUGAAACCUCCACCUCCCAGGUUCAAGUGAGUCUCCUAACUCAGCCUCCCAAGUAGCUGGGAUUACAGGUGCCUGCCACCAUGCCCAGCUAAUUUUUGUGUUUUUAGUAGAAACAAGAGUUCACCAUGUUGGCCAGGCUGGUCUUGAACUCCUGACCUCAGGUGAUCCGCCCACCUUGGCCUCCCAAAGUGCUGGAUUACAGGCGUGAGCCACCGGGCCCAACCCAUUAUACUAUUUUCUUUUUUCUUUUUUUUAAAAAAAAAAAAAAAAAAAAUGAGUCUUGCUCUGUCACCCAGGCUGGAGUGCAGUGGCACGAUCUCGGCUCACUGCAACCUCCGCCUCCCUGGUUCAAGAAAUUCUCCUGCCUCGGCCUCCCGAGUAGCUAGGAUUACAGGCGCCCACCACCACGCCUGGCUAAUUUUUGUAUUUUUAGUAGAGACGGGGUUUCACCAUGUUGGCCAGGCUGGUCUCGAACUCCUGACCUCGUGAUCUACCUGCCUCAGCCUCCCAAAGUGCUGGGAUUACAGGCGUGAGCCACCACACCCGGCCCCGUUAUACUAUUUUCUUAUUUCUGAAUAUGCUUGCAAUUUUACAGAAUAAAAAAGUCAAAUAGCCUGGGCGCAGUGGUGCACACCUGUAAUCCCAGCACUUUGGGAGGCUGAGGCAAGCGGAUCACUUGAGCUUAGGGGUUUAAGACCAGCCUGGGCAACAAGGUGAAACCCCGUCUCAACAAAAAAUACAAAAAUGAGCCAGGUGUGGUGGCAAAGGCCUGUAGUCCCAGCUACUGUGGAGGCUAAGGUGGGAGAAUCACUUGUGCCCAGGAGGUCUAGGCUGCAGUGAUCCAAGAUCAUGCCACUGUACUCUAGCCUGGGAGACAGAGUGAGACCCUGUCUCAAAAAAAAGAGUUAAAUAUAUAGAGAAUGUUUUAAUACCUAGCUCCGUAUACUAUAGCCUAGAACAGAUUAAAUAAGCUAUUUCAAUUUUUUAUAUUAAAGGUAUAACUAAUCCUGGCUCAACUUUAAAUCAUUAUCUUGUAGAAACAUACUGAUCCUUGUUUUUAUGAACAGUUACUUCUAAGUCUGCCAGAUACCUCUGCCUUCCUUGAUCUACUAUUGUAUUGUACACUUAGGGUAUUAAGAGACAUGUCAUGAACUUAGGAUAUUAAGAGAAGUGUCAUGAGUUCCCUAAGUCUGAGCCAAGCUUCUGGACUCUGCUCACUCUGAUCAAAGAAUUUAAGAGAAUGUUACCUAUUCUACAGUCAACUUCUAACUUACUCCACAUUUUUCACAACAAAAACCCACAAGUAAUGAAGAAAUGGUGAUCCAGAUUCCAACACAUAUAGAAGGCAUGUGAUGCAAAAAUCAAAUAAGAUGUAUUUUUCAUGUAGAAGGAGUAGAGAAAGAAAUUACUCAAAUUUUACAGAAGACUGGAAUUGUUUUACUCCUUUUUUCCCUCCACCACAGACUUCCUCCUAGUACAGUAAGCAGAAGGACUGUUCUUUCUAGUAGUUAACCUACUCUGACCUCUAACAAGUAUACUACUAAGCUAGUUAUUGAACUUAAAACAGUCAAAACUACAGACUACACAAAUUCAAUGUAGAAACUGCAUUUCACAAUAAAGAACAGAUACAAGCUACUUUGAGAUUAGGAAAAUAAACUUUUCCAAUCAAAAACAACUGUGUUGGCAGGGUGCGGUGGCUCAUGCCUGUAAUCCUCACAGGCCGAGGCAGGUGGAUCACAUGAGGUCAAGAGUUCAAGACCAGCCUCGCCGACAUGGUGAAACCCUGCCUCUACAAAAAUUAGUCAGGUGUGGUGGUGGGUGCCUGUAAUCCCAGCUACUCGGGAGGCUGAGGCAGGAGAAUUGCUUUAACCCAGGAGGUGGAGGUUGCAGUGAGCCGAGAUCACACCAUUGCACUCCAGCCUGGGCAACAGAGCAAAAACUCUGUCUCAAAAACAAACAAAACAAACAAAAACAAACAAAAAAACUAUGUCAAUGACAAAUUGCAUACUCUUAGAAAACCCCCUUAGCCUCUGGGCUAUACCAUAAUGAUUUUAAAUAGCAAGGAAACAGCUCUGAAGCACGGGAACAAUAAUACAAGUAAUCAAGAAGAUUCUAAAUAAUCUAUUGUCACAGCAAUAGAAGUGUAGCUAAUUUACUUUCUUCAGAUUGUGGCAUUGACAGAAAAACAUAAAAAUCACUUUAAGAUACAACAGGUAUCCUUUACUGUAUUUUCUCGAACAAGAGUUUUAACAUACCUUAGAGAAAAAUAUUCCACUUUCUUACAGAAGUGUUAUAAAAUACACAGAAAACAACCUAAUGGACUAGUUAAAAACACGGUACUGUACCAAGAACCUUGAACUGGGAGUCAGAUAACCUUGGUUCUAGUCCUAAUUACUAAUUAGAUCUAUGCUGUUAAGCAAACUGCAACCUCAGGAGAGCUCAAUUUUCUCAUUUUUUUUUAAUUUUUUUUAUUUUUAUUUUUAUUUUUUUUAUUGAUCAUUCUUGGGUGUUUCUCGCAGAGGGGGAUUUGGCAGGGUCAUAGGACAAUAGUGGAGGGAAGGUCAGCAGAUAAACAAGUGAACAAAGGUCUCUGGUUUUCCUAGGCAGAGGACCCUGCGGCCUUCCACAGUGUUUGUGUCCCUGGGUACUUGAGAUUAGGGAGUGGUGAUGAUUCUUAACGAGCAUGCUGCCUUCAAGCAUCUGUUUAACAAAGCACAUCUUGCACCGCCCUUAAUCCAUUUAACCCUGAGUGGACACAGCACAUGUUUCAGAGAGCACAGGGUUGGGGGUAAGGUCACAGAUCAACAGGAUCCCAAGGCAGAAGAAUUUUUCUUAGUACAGAACAAAAUGAAGUCUCCCAUGUCUACCUCUUUCUACACAGACACGGCAACCAUCCGAUUUCUCAAUCUUUUCCCCACCUUUCCCCCCUUUCUAUUCCACAAAACCGCCACUGUCAUCAUGGCCCGUUCUCAAUGAGCCGCUGGGCACACCUCCCAGACGGGGUGGUGGCCGGGCAGAGGGGCUCCUCACUUCCCAGCAGGGGCGGCCGGGCAGAGGCGCCCCUCACCUCCC
rnacentral:lncRNA from 1 species